AUACUCAUGGAUUAAUUGGUGCUGGCUGGGCCUGCCAGCCUAGUCGUGGCCCCAGGGUCCCCACUAAAGGGCUCCUUCUCCAGCGCCCACUCUGUUGGCAAGGUCUUCACUACCAUCACCUGCCUGGACUCCAUCCAAGCAUCAGGGUUGCUGCAGUCGCUCCUGAAGAGACCCGGCUCUGCUUGAAAGUUCUUCCCUCAGCGCCUGCUGGAGCCCUCCCUGCCGGAGUUGCCAGAAUCCACACGGCUCCACAGUCAAAGACUAGCGAUGGAAGAGAUCAGAAUUCAGCUUCCCCAGGGACAGCAAGGCCAAGAAGGUGUCCAGAUCCUGGCCUCUCUCCAGAUCUUGGACUCUCUCAAGGCCAAGACUCUCUCUCUUAAGAUCUCUAUCUCAAGGCCAAGAUCUCUCUCCAGAUAUUGGCCUCUCUCAAGGUACUUCCAAGAUCUCAGAGGGCCAUUCACUGUGGAUCUAAUAUGAAGACAGAGAAACCAGCCUUCCAGAGGAGCGGACACAUUUCCUUAGUCCCAGGAUACACUUUGUGUGGAAUCCACAGAUCUGCCCUGAUGAUCAUGAAGGAAUGCGAAAGAGCCUGGUAAAACGAUAUGGACUUGUGCAAAUGCAAAGCAAUGGUGAAGUCAUCACGAACCGCACAGACUGGACAGAACUCCUAUCUGGCUGCAAUGGCUUGGGUUCAGUCAGCCCAGGGGCCAGAGAAUUGGCUACAAAGAGCUCUGGAGUGCCCCUCCCUCCAAAUAAAGUAUUCUAAGCGUGCACUG
rnacentral:lncRNA from 1 species